rnacentral:sRNA from 1 species
CUUUAAAACAGUGUUGGAGGCACUAGCUAGGGUUUUUUAAGAUGAGAUGCAUCAUCAUCAUCAUCAUCAUCAUGCAUGCUCUUUAAUCACUGCAACUUGUGUUAAAAGUUUCAUCACCAACUAAAUGCCACGAACCACACAUCGAUACGUAUGGAUGCAAUUAUAUAGAAUUAAAGGCAACCAAAAUCAGCAGUAGUUGAGAUUCGCCAAGAGAUUCUUUUGGUUUUCGACAAGAAAAUUGGUGGUUGGAUGAUAAUAGCAUUUAUUUGGUGAGUGACGAGCUACUGUAGACGGA